UGGUCAAGUUAUUAAGGGUGCAGGGCGGAUGCCUUGGCACUAGGAGCCGAUGAAGGACGUGAUAAGCUGCGAUAAGCUUCGGGGAGUUGCACGUAAACUUUGAUCCGAAGAUUUCCGAAUGAGGAAACUCACUUAGAGUAAUGUCUAAGUAUCAUUAAGUGAAUACAUAGCUUAAUGAGGGGAACUCAGGGAACUGAAACAUCUAAGUACCUGAAGGAAGAGAAAGAAAUUCGAUUCCGUAAGUAGCGGCGAGCGAACGCGGAUUAGCCCAAACUAAUAAAGUUUUCUUUAUUGGGGUUGCGGACAUAUCAUAACGAAGAGGUAUCGUAAUUGAAGAGGUUUGGAAAGACCCACCACAGAAGGUAAUAGUCCUGUAUGUUAAACGAGAAGACUUUAGAUAUGAUCCAGAGUACCACGGGACACGUGAAACCCUGUGGGAAGCAGGAGGGACCACCCUCCAAGGCUAAAUACUACCUAGUGACCGAUAGCGUAUAGUACCGUGAGGGAAAGGUGAAAAGAACCCCGGGAGGGGAGUGAAAUA
rnacentral:rRNA from 1 species